CCUACGGGAGGCAGCAGUGAGGAAUAUUGGUCAAUGGCCGCAGGGCUGAACCAGCCAAGUCGCGUGAGGGAUGACGGUCCUAUGGAUUGUAAACCUCUUUUGUCAGGGAGCAAAGGGCGCCACGUGUGGCGCUUUGCGAGUACCUGAAGAAAAAGCAUCGGCUAACCCCGUGCCAGCAGCCGCGGUAAUACGGAGGAUGCGAGCGUUAUCCGGAUUUAUUGGGUUUAAAGGGUGCGCAGGCGGAAUGUCAAGUCAGCGGUAAAAUUUCGGGGCUCAACCCCGUCGUGCCGUUGAAACUGGCGUUCUUGAGUGAGCGAGAAGUAUGCGGAAUGCGUGGUGUAGCGGUGAAAUGCAUAGAUAUCACGCAGAACUCCGAUUGCGAAGGCAGCAUACCGGCGCUCAACUGACGCUCAUGCACGAAAGCGUGGGUAUCGAACAGGAUUAGAUACCCCGGUAGUC
rnacentral:rRNA from 1 species